UGAAACCCCAUCUACUAACAUAUUAAAACAGUGUACAAAAUGUGAUGUUACUAGAACUUAUAUUCUACUUAUGUAGAGCUUUCUAAUAUUCCAUAUUGUCCCUCUGCCUUUCUGAGGCAGAGGGACAUUAUUCUUGGUUUCAUUAUUUUUUAAUUUAAUAUCUCUGGAUAUUUUCCAUAUUUAGUUUGCGUACAACAGUUAACAACUUUAAGCUUUUGUUAUUAUUACAUUAUUAUAUUACAUUAACUUUAGUUAUAACUUAAUUAAUAAUGAUUUGAUUUAUAGAUUUUUAAAGCAAUACAAGAUUGAAUUUAGCAUUAGGCUAAAUUUCUGCUCUGGAGACAAAAAAGGAAGACAGCGAAAAUGACCAGUCAAAAUAAAGAUUGAAGAGACAAAAAAUUGUGUAUAUCUUGGUGUAGAUGAUUUAUCCUCAUUUUCUAAUAAUAAAACAAAAAAUAUUAACUCCAAAAUCUUUACAGAAGUUUAAUGUUUGCUCUGAGAAGUUGAAUGAACAAAAUUAUUAAAUGUGUUCAUUCUUAGUCGUCAUUGAAGUACAACUUGGUAAACUACAAAACAUCAAAUUCAGUUAUAAAAAUUUGAGUAACAAAGGUAUACUAAUUAUUGUAUUGCCUGAAAGAGUGUCAUUGCUAUUAAAAGCAGUGAAGAAUUCGAGUACUCUGGAAGAAAAGAAAAUACGUAAGUAAAUGGUCAAUUAUUUGGCACAAAUCGGAAUUAAAGACAAAGGAGAUUGUAUAUUUUAUUUGCUAAGAAUAGUUUUUUAAAAUGGCCUCGUUGUAAAAUUAAACUAUGCAGGGAGAGGACAAAAAAUUGGAAUAGAAAAAAUAUUGAUUGCAUAUGCUGCUAUUCAAUCUGUGAAGUCAAAUAAGCAUGGCUUAUGCAGACAUGUGAUAGAGAUAGAGGAAGAAAAAAUAAUAGACGUGAGCACCAAAUAUCAAAAGCUAAACAAUAUUCAAUAACAAGUAGCUCAGCCAAUAUCGAAACUACUCUAUAAAUUUUAUAGUUAAUUUUUUUUAUUUAAAACUCAAUGUGUCAGUUUUUGGUUUAAGUUUGGUGUUUGCAAUAUGUAUAUUU